CAAAGUGCUAGGAUGACAGGCGUGAACCACCGUGCCUUGACCCUAAUUUCUAUUUUUAAAUGCCAUCUUCAUUUAAAAUUUUGAUGUUUUGUUCAUCAUUGUAGUAGGCCAAAUUUCUAAUGCAACCUCCCAAAGAUGUCGUUGCUUACUCCCAGGAACCUGUAAUAUUCUGAGAUGUCAUUCUCAUGAUUAUGUCAUGUUAUAUGGCACAGUUGAUAAUAACAUGAGCUUUUAAAAGCAGAGUUUAUUGCAAAUAUAUUACAUUAAAAUAUCAUUUAUCCAGAAUACUCAAUUUUUGGCGCUCCUUACAUAUUUUACCAGAGUUGAGUUCCUCAUUUACCUCCUUCUAUUCCCCUUAAUACUUGGCAUUAUGUAGCUACAAAGUUCAUGUUCUUAUUAUCACCCUUGUUAUUCACAGUGUCCUGUAAUUCUUGUCUUAUUGAUAGAGAAUCAUCUUUAUCUUCCCCAUUUUUUCAAAGUUUCUCUUCUCUGUCUGCUUCUUCCUACCAGUGGCCAUGGUCCAUGACUCCUUUACUACAUCAGAUCCACAUAGUCCAUGGACUAACCAGAAACACAAGAAAUAAGAAGACCAUUUUGAGAAGAACAGAGAGUAGCCUUAAGAAAAUCCCUGUCGCAUGCACUCUGGGAUUUGGACUCAAAUCCUAAUUAUACAGACUUAAUUAUGCCCUGCUAUUCAGAGUGGUCCACAGAACCAACAACAAUGGCAUCACCUAGGAGCUUGUUAGAAACAGAGACUUGAUUCUGAGACCCCAUUCCAGACCUACUGAGUCAAAAUCUGCGUUUUAACAAGACCUCCAGGUGAUUCAUCUGCACGCUUGAAGUCUGAGAAGUAUAUUUAUUGCAUGUCUAUCAUGUGCAAAUAAUGGUGCAAGGCAAUAUGAAUAUAAUGAAAAACAAGAUGUACAGUCCUUGAUCUUUUACAUCUUUCUAGAAAAAAAAUGGAUAAAUGAUAAUAUAUUUUUCAUGAUGGGUUAUUUAAUUAAUAUGUGAUUGGUCUGUUGGAGAAAUAUAGGAGCUAUGGGAGACAGAUCUAGCCUGGGGAACACAGGAAGGUUUUCAUGAAAAACUGAUAGUCGAAACUGAAAAAUGAGUAAGAGUUAACUAGAGAAAAGCUCAAUAAAUGGAAGAAGGGCUUCCAGUAGAGGGGAUAGCAGAUAUGAAGAUUCUGAGCUGAAGUAUAGCAUUUUGGAGGAACUUAAUAAAUGUAACUGAAGGUCAAAGAGUGGGGCAGAUAGUGGGGAUAUAUCAUUCAGGACAUUGAAGAUAAUGUUUGAAGAUUUUGAUUUUGAUACUGAAAGCAUUGAGAAGCUAUUGAAAAGUGCUAACCAUUGUAUUAUGAUAUAAGUAUAUUUUAAGACAAAUAACUCUGGUUACAGUACAGAAGACAGAAGAAACUCAAGGAUAAAUGAUGCAAGGAGACUGUUCAGCUGGGCGGUUCUCUGAUUUACAUGGUGGUAAUUGGAGUAGCCGGUGCUGGAAGAUCUCCUUCCAAGAUAUUACAUAUCUGCUCGCUUGGUUAUCUAUCUAUCUAUCCAUCCAUUCAUCCAUUCACCUAUCAAUCUUUUGAUAUUUUCUUCUCCCCUAGAGGACAUCUUAUCUUUCAGUGCCUUUCCAUAUAGCUUGGACUUCUAACAGGAUGCUAGCCUUGAGGUUCUAAGAGUGAAUGCUCCAAAAAACAGUAAGUAAAUUCGUCCAGUUUUUAAAGACUUGAGUCUAGAAAUUGCAAAACAUGAAUUAAAGCACUCAGAGAAGCCAACCUAGGUUCAUGGGAAGAGGAUUUAGACCACACACCUCUAAAGGAAAAGAAGAAAAUAAUCUUUAAUUUUUAAUUUAAUUUAAUCUUUUUCUUUCUCAACUUUAUUUUAGAUUUAUGCCUUACAUGUGCAGUUUGUUACCUGGGUAUAUGCAUGAUGCUGAGGUUUGAGUUCUAAAUGAUCCCAUCACACAGAUACUGAGAAUAGUCCCCAAUAGGUUUUCAACACUUACUGUGUUUUCUCCCUUACUCAUCUAGUAGUCCCCAGUGUCUACUGCUCCCAUCUUUAUGUCUAUGAGUACCCAAUGUUUAACUCCCACUUGUAAAUGAGAACAAACAGUAUUUGGUUUUCUGUUCCUGGGUUAACUUGCUUAGGAUCAUGGCCUCCAGCUGCAUCCAUGCUGCUGCAAAGGACAUGAUUUUAUUCUUUUCUGUAGCUACAUAAUAUUCCAUUGUGUAUAUGUACCACAUUUUCUUUAUCCAAUCCACCAUUGAUGGGCACCUAGGUUGAUUCCAUGUCUGUGCUAUUGUGAAUGGUUCUGCGAUGAACAUGCAAAUGCAUGUUAUCUUUUUGGUAGAAUGAUUUGUUUUCUUUUAGAUAUAUACCCAGUAAUGGAAUUGCUGGGUUAAAUGAUAGUUGUUAUAAGUUCUUUGAGAAAUUGCCAAACUGCUUCCCACAAUAGCUGAGCUAAUUUACAUUCCCACCAGGAGUGUUUAGCAUUCCUUUUUCAUUGCAACCUUGCCAAAAUCUAUUGUAUUUUGAGUUUUUAGUAAUAGCCAUUCUGACUAGUGUGAGAUGGUAUCUCAUUGUGGUUUUGAUUUGCAUUUCUUUAAUGAUUAGUGAUGAGGAGCUUUUUAAAAUAAGUUUGUUGGCCACUUUUAUGUCUUCUUUUGAGAAGUGUCUGUUCAUGUCUUUUGCCCUUUGUUUUAAACAAGGUUAGUUAUUUUUUGCUUUUUCAAUAGUUUAAAUUCCUUAUAGAUCUGGACAUUAGUCAGAUUUCUAGUUUGCACAUGUUUCCUCCCAUUCUGUAGUUUGUCUGUUUAUUCUGUUGAUAGUUUCUCUUACUGUGCAGAAGCUCUCUAGUUUAAUUAGGUUCCAGUUGUCAAUUUUUUGUUGUUGUUGUUGCAAUUUCUUGCAAUUGCUUUUGAGGACUUAGUCAUAAAUUCUUUCCCAAGGCUAAUGUUUAUAAUAAUGUUUCCUGGGUUUUCUUCUAGGAUUCUUACUGUUUGACAUCUUACAUUUAUUAAAUCCACCUUGAGUUAAUGUUUUCUAUGGUUAAACAUAGAGAACUAGUUUUAUUCUUCUACAUAUGACUAGCCAGUUAUCCCAGCAACAUUUAUUGAAUAGAGAGUCCUUUCCCCUUGCUUAUUUUUGUCAAUUUUGUCAAAGAUUAGAUUACUGUAGGUGUGUGACUUUAUUUACAGGUUCUCUUUUCUGUUGCAUUGGCCUAUGUGUCUGUUUUUGUAUCAGUGCCAUACUGUUUUGGUUACUGUAACCUUAUAGUUUGAAGUCAAGUAAUGUGAUGCCUCUGACAUUUUUCUUUUUGCUUAGGAUUGCUUUUGGCUCUUCUUUGGUUUCAUGUUAUUUUUAGAAUAGUGUUUGCCAAUUCUGUGAAAAAUGAUGUAGUUUGAUAAGAAUAGUAUUGAAUUUGUAGAUUGCUUUGGGCAUUAUUGACCAUUUUAACAACAUUGAUUCUUCCUAUCUGUGAGCAUGGAAUGUUUUCCCACUUGUUUGUGUCAUAUAUGAUUUUCUUUGGCAGUGCUUUGUAGUUCUCCUUGUACAGAUCUUUCAUCUCCUUGGUUAGAUGUAUUCCUAGGUAUUUUCCUUUUUUGUGCCUAUUGUAAAUGGAAUUGUAUUCUUGAUUUGGCUCUCAGCUUCAGUGUUAUUGGUAUAUAGAAAUGCUACUAAAUGCUACUGAUUUAUGUACAUUGAUUUUUAUCCUGAAGUUUUGCUAAAGUCCUUUACCAGUUCCAGGAGCCUUCUGGUGGAGUAUUUAGGGUUUUCUAAAUAUAGAAUUGUAUCAUCCAUGAAGAGAGAUAGUUUGACUUUUUUUUUUUCUAUUUGGAUGCUUUUAUAUCUUUCUCUUGCCUAAUUGCUCUGUCUAGCACUCCAGUAUUUUGUUGAAUAGAAGUGGUGAGAGUGGGCUUCCUUGUCUUGUUUCAGUUCUCAAGGGGAAGGAAGAUGCAAAGAAUUCGAGGUUACCUUUAAUCUACCAUAGAAACUAAGUUGAUGUUUAUGAGAAUAAUAUGCCUUUUGUCAGCCCAAGAUCAAGAUCUGCUUUUAAGCUGGAUGAGACUACCGUUAGGUGAAUCCAAAGCCAAAGUGAGUCAGAUAUGUCCCUUCCCUGAUGGCUGGGAAUUUCCCAAUCUUAUUUCCCAAUCUUGGCCAUCAAAUGCUCCCAAACUGAACUGUAACUCUGAAGGCUUUGUUAUCUGCAGUCUUACUUCCAUGUUUUUUUUUUCUUUUUUCUUUUUUUUUCUCUCCUAAAAUGACCUCACCAGUGUUCUCCAGUCAUCAGUGACCUACCCAAUAUCUUUAUGUGAUUUUUCUGAGUAAAUGACCCAGAGUUGAUUUGUUUUGCCUGAAAUACAGAAUCCUGAUCACUACAGUAGUUCAAGCAAGAGUUGUUGUAAUCUGUGCUCAAUGGUGACAAUGGAAAGGGAAAUAAUUUAGCCGAUGGUACAAAUGUUAAGUAGAUCAAAUAGAUUGGUAAUAAUAUUAGAUGAAAUAUGAGAAUGAGGGAAAAGAUUGACUACUAUCUGGAUGAUAGUACCAUUCAUUGAGAUAUGGAAAUUGAAGGAGAGUGAGAUUUAAGGAUUCAUCCAUGUUUUAAGUUUUGAAUAUGUUGAUGUUGAAGUACUUGUGAGAGAUCCAAAUCAAGAAGUUUUGUAGACAGUUAUACAUAUCAUUUGGAGUUCAAAUGUGAAGUCUGUACUAGAAAUAGAAAUAUGGGAAUAGCUAGCUUAUACAUCUUAAAUAAAACGAUGUGUAUGGAUGAGUGACCCUGGAAGGAAAAGACAGACUCCUUCCUUAGUAUCUGUUUCUGUAAGUAGACUUUUAUUUGAAUAGAGAACAUUUCUCUAAAGCCUUGUCUCUUGGGUUUCUCUUCAGUCUGCAUUAUUGCUUUGAUGUUGCCUAUUACGAGAAAUCUCAUUGUGAGAGCCAAAGGGGCUCUUCUCAGAAAUUUCCAAAACUUGUUAUUCUUGAAGUAGCAAAAGACAUUCACAGCUUAAUGCAGAAGUAAG
rnacentral:lncRNA from 10 species